rnacentral:tRNA from 1 species
GGGGUGGUAGCUUAAUUGGUUAAAGCACCAGCCUGUCACGCUGGUGACUGCGGGUUCGAGUCCCGUCCAUCCCGCCA